UUUUUACUUGAUCAGUCUGAAUUGGUCUGACUUUUACUUGACAUUACUCGACCCCAGUCUGAACCAUACUUGACUGUACUGAAUCGUACUUGACCCUUAUCUUUGCCGUUGAAAAUAGUCUGAACUAUUACUCGACCAGUCUGAAACAGUCUUAACCAUUCUCGACAUGUACUCGAUCUAUUUUUCCAGUCUAAACCAUACUUAACCAAAGGUCUGAACAAUACUCGACCAGUCUGAACCAGACCAAAAACCCUCUACUUUUUUAACUGUUAAAAUAAAAUUCUUUUUAACUGACAUAUAUAACAACAGCC
rnacentral:lncRNA from 1 species